rnacentral:rRNA from 1 species
AGAGUUUGAUCCUGGCUCAGGAUGAACGCUAGCGGCAGGCCUAAUACAUGCAAGUCGAGGGGUAGAGUAGGCUUGCUUACUUGAGACCGGCGCACGGGUGCGUAACGCGUAUGCAACCUACCUUUAUCUGGGGGAUAGCCCGGAGAAAUCCGGAUUAAUACCGCAUAAAAUCACAGAAUGGCAUUAUUCAAUGAUCAAACAUUAAUGGGAUAGAGAUGGGCAUGCGUGUCAUUAGCUAGUUGGCGGGGUAACGGCCCACCAAGGCGACGAUGACUAGGGGAUCUGAGAGGAUGACCCCCCACACUGGUACUGAGACACGGACCAGACUCCUACGGGAGGCAGCAGUAAGGAAUAUUGGUCAAUGGAGGCAACUCUGAACCAGCCAUGCCGCGUGCAGGAAGACUGCCCUAUGGGUUGUAAACUGCUUUUAUCCGGGAAUAAACCACGAUACGUGUAUUGUGCUGAAUGUACCGGAAGAAUAAGGAUCGGCUAACUCCGUGCCAGCAGCCGCGGUAAU